CGACAAUCGAUCCUAUAACCUGGUCUCCCAACUACCAUCAUGAGACCGGUAACAUAGAAAACCUAUCAAGGGCAAACCUUUGCCUUGCACAUGGUCCACUUGAGCUAGAUGAUGACGAUCUUGACUCCCUCAAGUUGGACCACCGUUCUUGGUUGCGUUGGCUCAAUGAAGACUAGUUGAUUGCUCCCCCAUACUCCACUAUGGGUGAGCCACUCUUCCGCACAUCUUCACAAGUCCAUUGUCACCACAAUGGACGACAAGCUUCAAGCAUUUGAUUUCUUCAUGAUGCUUCACUUGAACUUGCACACCGCAACAUCUUCACAAGUCCAUUGUCACCACAAUGGACGGCAAGCUUCAAGCAUUUGAUCUCUUCAUGAUGAUUCACUUGAACUUGCACACCGCAACCUAACCCCACAAAGAACUCUCACGAAGAUCAUGGGUUAGUACACAAAGCGUAAUUGACAAUGCUUACCACACCAUGGGAUCGCUUGAUCCCUCCCGGUACAUCUUCUAUGCUUUGUGAGUUGAUCAAGUUGAUUCACUCUUGACUUAGUCUUGAUCAACCUUGACUCUUUCGAACUCUCUUCAUUUGGAUGAU
rnacentral:rRNA from 1 species